rnacentral:ncRNA from 2 species
AUGGGAUCUUUUCUCCGAGCCAAAAGGCCUGAGGCCGGCUCUCCGGCUAUGGUCUUUGGCCGCUGGGCAGGACGGGAAACCGCCUUGCCUCCCGUGUUUGGAAAGGAGAGAUCUUAUCGUGGGA